CCAGUGUUUGGAAAGAGCAACACGGGCUUUGAAGGGCACCGGGACCCGGCUGGAGGUUGUGCACAGGCCCCAGGUCCAGGGCUCCGAGGGUCCCCAGGGUCCCUGUAGCACAGCUGCAGGGUCUCCACCUUGGACGAAAGGAAGAAAGCUGGCCUCCUGCCCCGCCCCGCAGGCCCUGGGUUCCAGACAGUUCGGGGCUCAAGGCAGGACUGCAUAGACCACCAUCGCAGCAGGGUCUCUGCAGCUGUCCUCGAGUUGAGACGGGGGCAAGCUGAAGUCCACGGAGAGCAUCCUGAGCAGAGACAGAAGGGCACACGACACACGGGAAGCCAUGUGAGGGCGGAGGCAGAGACUGGGGAACCCCAAGAACGGCCGGCAACACCAGAAGCUGGGAGAGGGUCGUCGGGUGGUCCCUCAGACUCCUCCAGGGGGAACGUGGCCCUCCAAUGCCUUGUUCCAGACCGCCAGGUCAGUGUUGUUCAAGCCCUCGGCAUGUGCUGAUCUGGGUGGUGACCCCAGGACACUGGUAGUGCUGAGGAGGUACCCAGAAGCAGUUGUCUCCAGACGGGGAUCGCCCCCUUCCUAGUUAGGGCGUGCCUGGUGGGGCUGAGGAGGGCCCCACUCGGGGUCCAACCACACACCAGCCACCAGCCUGGCCUGCUGGUCCUGACCGCCUCCUGUCACGGUCCCUCCACCCCUCCUCUGCUCCAAGAGGCCCUCUCUAGUUUCCUUCCCUCUGUCCCUGCGUCCACCCCCUGACUGCAGCUGUCCCCUGUGACCCCUGCUCCGCACCUGCCACCCUUCCUCCUGUCCCUGCUUCCACGUCUGCUCUUGUAGAAAAUCCUCAUCUCGAAUGGAGAAAGAAGAUGUGGUUCAGAUAUACAGUGGAAUAUUACUCAGCCGUCAAAAAGAACGAAAUCCUGCCAUUUGCUACAACGAGGAUGGAACAGAAGGUACUAUGCUGAGAGAAAUAACCGGAGAAAGACAACCAUCACAUGAUCUCACUCAUACGUGGAAUUUAAGAAACAAAACAGGAUUAUAGGGAAGGGAGGGGAAUAAAACAAGACAAAAUCAGAGAGGGAGAAAAGCUGGAAGAGACUCUCGAUCGUCGGAGACAAACUGAGGGCUGUGGAGGGCAGGAGGCGGGGGAUGGUAACCAGGGGACAGGCAUCAAGGAGGGCACGUGAUGGAAUGAGCCCUGGGUGUUACAUAAAACUGAUGACUCACUGA